UCAGAGUGGCUCUGAUACCAAAUGAUAAAAACCUCCCAAGGAAUACACUCUGAAAUUGGUAAGGGAUAAGCCUUGCACCGAAUGAGCCCGAAAGCAACAAACGAUCAAGGGAUGUGGAUCGAAAGGGGACACAAGAGAGGCGGAAAGUCUCUUGAUACUACCCUAUAAUGACCGCCUCUAGAUAUGACACACUAGAUUAGACCAAGUUAGACUGAAGGAUAUUACACACCAACAAUCAUAAAAGUUUUGACCAAUGGAUAUGACACACCAUGAUCGAAAACAAGUUUGAGAAUCACUCUCAAGGUUCCAAAAAUAUAAACUCAACUCUUAUUUUAUUUCAAUGGAGAUUACAACUUAUUUAUAAGAGACUAAACUUGCUCACAAAGCUAGAUAGUUAUUACAUUGGAAAUGAUAAAACUAGUGCAUGGAGGAGAGAGAGUGUUCUUGAAACAAGCAUUCUUUGCAUGUAGGAGAGAGAAGCUUUCCAUGCAAUUAACCACCUAAUUUUCGUCACUCUCUUUGGACAGCAAAGAAACCACUUGAUUUUGAAUCUUCUUGGGCUUGUAACAUGAUAAAAAUGGGCUGGACAUGCUACCUAACAUCAUGGAUCAAUUUCUGAAUGUCUUUCAUGUCCGUAGAUUCAUAUAUCAGCCCAUGAUCACAUCACUUACAUCGUGAUUCAUCUUGGUUUGAUUAGAAUGACAAGGAAGCUGUCAUAUUCCCAAACAGGAAAACUGGGAUCACCUAAUUUGAAAGUGGGACAGCUUCUUCAUCCUAACUCCUAUGAGAUUUAUUCUACUUCCUAAUGGUUCUCCACUACUUUAUGUAUCCAAUUCAAGCUUCUUAGAUCACGAUUCAUCCUGGUUUGAUUAGAAUGACAAAGAAGCUGUCAUAUUCCCAAACAGGAAAACUGGGAUCACCUGAUUUUGAAAGUGGGAUAGCUUCUUCAUCCUAACUCCUAUGAGAUUUAUUC
rnacentral:lncRNA from 1 species